UAAAAAACUUGCCAGUAUCUUCUAAAUUUGCAAAUGUGGAUCAAAAUAGAAGGAAAGACUUUUCAUACCUAUGUUAUCUGAAAGAACCCUAAGUUGGAAGCAACUCAAAUGUGGAUUAAGUGAACAGUGGACAAAGUGUGGUAUACUUAUACUAUUGAAAACUCUGAAGGAACUGGAAGGAAUAAAUCAAAGGUCUCCUUUUUAAAGACCCUUUAUGCCUUCCUGAUGAAAAGAUAGAGGCAGAAAGGAUGGCAGCUGACUGUUGGACAGAUUUUUCUCAGGUUCCUUUAAAGCCAUAACUGGAGCAUAUGAACUGUGAGUGUACAUAGAAGAGUACCUAGGACCAUUGCACCAUGGGGGAGAUGAGGAGUGACCUUGAAACCCUCCAUUGCCAUCUGGUCUCCCAUCUUCAUU